GGAUUUUGGGGGUAGGAUUGGAAAUGUAAAUGAAGAAAAUACCUAAUUAAUAAAAAAUAUGCAUGCAGUUAAGGAGACACCUCAGUGACUUCAUCCUUAUCUCAUCCUUGGCUGAUUGAGUUGCACUAUGGAGAGCUGGGUGUAGGGGUGUCUGGAGGUUGACAUGGGAAAAUGUCAAUUCAAGACUAGUCUGGACAAUGAGGCCUAGUUUCAGAAAAAAAAAAAAACUAAACUAAACAAAUAAUGUUUCUGUGAAAAGCUUUGUGACAGUGAUUUUCAACCUUUCUAAUGCUGUGUCCUUACAAUACAGUUCCUCGUGUUGUGUUGACACUCCCUAACCCCCAAACAUAAUAUUAUUUUCAUAACUACUGCAUGACUGUAAUGUUGCUACUUUUCUGAAUUGUAAUGUAAAUGGUUUUUUUUUUUAAGAUUUAUUUAUUAUUAUGUGUAAGUACACUGGAGCUUCCUUCAGACACACCAGAUGAGGGCGUCAGAUCUCAUUACGGGUGGUUGUGAACCACCAUGUGCUUGCUGGGAUUUGGACUCAGGAUCUUUAGAAGAGCAGCCAGUGCUCUUACCCGCUGAGCCAUCUCACCAGUAAAUGUUUUCCGAUGGUCUUAGGUGACCCCUGUGAAAAGGUCAGUCAAACUUUAUCAGAAGGUCUAGUUGACACCUGAGAAUUCUUAAGAUACACAGGACUUGUGUUUGUUAGAUAAACAGACUACAUGGAUUAUCUCCUUUCUAUUAGCAAAAUCUAGACAUGUUCACAUCAAGUGAAGUUAGAAAUACUGUGGUUUCUGUGUCUAACCAACAGACAUCCCUUUGUAUACUUUAAAUCAGUUCUGGAAUACAUGUAAUGCCUCAUAUACUGGAAAUCUUUCUUAUAUGUGGAGGCACAAAAUGGGGGAUUCCCUUCACCAUCAGGGCUUCUCCUUCUCAGACCUUGUCUUAUGACCUUGAACCCCCACCCCCACCUCUACCUGUGGAAUGUCACAUAGCCUUGUUGAGAUUAAAGGUUCAGCUUCCUUUCUCUAGAUAAGAACCAGAUCAACAAACACCUGACGCACCUGGAAUGCCUCUCCAUGCUAAUGACUCAUCUCAAUACCUUAGCCUUCAGCCAGAGACCUUUGCCUACCCUGGAUAGCCUUAUCCCCAUCCCCCCAAAUAUAUAACCCUAUUUCACCCAGAUUAAAGUAGAUCUGUCUCCAAAUAGCCUGAAGCUGGUCACUGAAUGUGUCAUUUCUGUUUGUACUCCCGGGCUGUCUAAAAACCCUAUUCUUGGACUUUGUUCUCUUUGACCUCCUGGGCCAGCGACCAGUGACCCGAGAAGAAGGGAGACCUACAGCUCUAUUAUAUUUUUAGGAAAUAAUAAAGAUGUACACUAUGUAAAUGUUUUAAAACAUAUUUUCAUCUAUGGUGGAUCAAUAGGUCUAGAUCAAUGUAUCUUAGAUGAAGAACCCACAAAAAGAUAGGGCUACUUUGUACACUUUAUUCCUUGGGCAUAAUGGAUAUUAUUGAUGUCAAUAGUAUUUGUGAAAAUUAGGAUUGGGAUAUAAUAAAAAAUGAUAACUC
rnacentral:lncRNA from 1 species